GACGUAGGGCGCGAGCGUUGUCCGGAAUUACUGGGCGUAAAGAGCUCGUAGGUGGUUUGUCACGUUGUUCGUGAAAACCCACAGCUCAACUGUGGGCGUGCGAGCGAUACGGGCAGACUAGAGUGCGGUAGGGGAGAUUGGAAUUCCUGGUGUAGCGGUGGAAUGCGCAGAUAUCAGGAGGAACACCAAUGGCGAAGGCAGAUCUCUGGGCCGUAACUGACGCUGAGGAGCGAAAGCAUGGGGAGCGAACAGG
rnacentral:rRNA from 1 species